rnacentral:rRNA from 1 species
UACGUAGGGUGCAAGCGUUGUCCGGAAUUAUUGGGCGUAAAGAGCUCGUAGGCGGUCUGUUACGUCGGAUGUGAAAACCCGAGGCUUAACCUCGGGCCUGCAUUCGAUACGGGCAGACUCGAGUGUGGUAGGGGAGACUGGAACUCCUGGUGUAGCGGUGAAAUGCGCAGAUAUCAGGAAGAACACCGGUGGCGAAGGCGGGUCUCUGGGCCGCUACUGACGCUGAGGAGCGAAAGCGUGGGGAGCGAACAGG